rnacentral:misc_RNA from 1 species
AACGCACAUUGCGCCCGCUGGUAUUCCAGCGGGCAUGCCCGUUCGAGCGUCAUUUCAAUUCCUUCCCAGGAAGGAGCCGCUGUCUCCACAGAGGUUCCUGCCAGGGGCGUUGGCACCGGCCGUAAAACACCUACACCUAAGGUUGACCUCGGAUCAGGUAGGAAUACCCGCUGAACUUAA